CAGAGGGUGCAAGCGUUGUUCGGAAUUAUUGGGCGUAAAGGGCGCGUAGGCGGUUCGGCAAGUCUCUAGUGAAAUCUCUGGGCUCAACUCAGAGUCUGCUGGGGAAACUGCCGGGCUUGAGUGUGGGAGAGGAGAGUGGAAUUCCUGGUGUAGCGGUGAAAUGCGUAGAUAUCAGGAGGAACACCUGUGGCGAAAGCGGCUCUCUGGACCACAACUGACGCUGAGGCGCGAAAGCUAGGGGAGCAAACAGGAUUAGAUACCCUGGUAGUCCUAGCCCUAAACGAUGAUUGCUUGAUGUGAUGGGUACCCAAUCCCAUCGUGUCGAAGCUAACGCGAUAAGCAAUCCGCCUGGGGAGUACGGUCGCAAGGCUG
rnacentral:rRNA from 1 species